UACGUAGGUCCCGAGCGUUGUCCGGAUUUAUUGGGCGUAAAGCGAGCGCAGGUGGUUUAUUAAGUCUGGUGUAAAAGGCAGUGGCUCAACCAUUGUAUGCAUUGGAAACUGGUAGACUUGAGUGCAGGAGAGGAGAGUGGAAUUCCAUGUGUAGCGGUGAAAUGCGUAGAUAUAUGGAGGAACACCGGUGGCGAAAGCGGCUCUCUGGCCAGUAACUGACGCUGAGGCUCGAAAGCGUGGGGAGCAAACAGG
rnacentral:rRNA from 1 species